ensembl:lncRNA
AUGACGGAGACCACACUCAGCUCCACAUUCUCCAUCGUUGUGAAAUCUUUGUUAGGAAAUAUUAUUUCUGUGCCAGUGUCUUUGGACGAUACGGUUCUGGACCUAAAGAUGAAGUUAUUUGCACUGGAUAGCUAUUUCUACCCUUCUCAGGCACGACUGUUUCAUGAUGGCCAGCAGAUGGCGAACGAACUAACUCUCAGACAUUACAACAUUACCUCCAACAGCAUUGUACACCGCGUUGAAAGGUUGCGAGGUGGUGGUUCAGCUCCCUUAAAGGGCAAGGAAGAUGUCUCAGCCAUAGGCAAUCAAGAACCAGAGAUUCAACAACAGGGUUUAUCAGGAAUUGCCUCAAGGAUAAAAAUGGAAAGUGGUUUGGCGGAUGCCAUCUCAAUUAUCGAAAUGAAGAGCUAUCUGGCAGGCAUCACCUCAACAAGUGCAGAGGAAAUCCAGAAAUGGCCACAGUCAGAUGUCCCAGCAGAGGAAAGAAGCUGUCACUGUGUGAGGCAGGUAAGGGUCCUUGCCCACUGCUCUCUCUGCACUGGCCUUACAGAUCCUCACAGGGCACAGCUCUUGUCAGCACUGAGCCUGCCUGCCUCAAAAAUGUCCCAUGCCUACCUCGGAUCCUAGGGUGGUUGCCAGUCAUUGAUUUUCCUGGCCUCUUAUCUGAUGAGUGAUGUUUUCUAGACAGCACACAGCAGGGUCUAUAGUCCUCUUGUUCUGAAGAGAUAAAAGUAACACGGUAUGCUUGAUAUACAACCACAACAGCAGGUAAAUGAAAGCACUGGGCAACUUUCAUGAGCGCUCCUUUGCUGAACAGCUGCUUCCCACCAUGUCACGUGCCUGAGUAAAAACAGAAGGUGUCUGGGGGCUGCUUGGUGGCAGGCAGCUGAAAGAAGGCACCAUGCUGGCUCACCUUAGGUCAUGUGUCAGAGCCUGCACGUAGGGAACUGUUUCUGCAACCAGACCACCAGGCACCUUGCUUGCACCAGACUCCUGCUGCUUUCAGGCUGACUCUCCCUCACCCUUUCUCCCAGAGCCUUCUUUCUUCUUUUUAGUUCUCUUGCCAUAGUCGAACAGAGAGAGCAAACUUGAGAGGAGAGGAGGAAUGGCAGCAUGUCCCAGCUCGGCGACGCAGGCAACCGCCAUCUCGACCUACCUCGGUUCCCCAGGUGCCUCUGAGUAAUAGGUUUGAAGCUCUGAAACCAGAAGAAGAGGUGAGUGAGGAUGAGGUAGGAGGACUGCCUCCAAGUUUGUCUAAGGUGAGGCGAUCAGCUGCACACUUGAAGACUGCCUCCUCCAGUGAAGAAAGGAGGGUGAUAGUCAUAGGUGACUCCCUUCUAAAAGGAACUCAGGGCCCAAUAUGUCAUCCUGACCCUACCCAUAGGGUGCCGUGCUGCCUCCCUUGGGGCCUGGGUCAGGGAUAUUUCUAGAAAACUUCCCAGUCUGAUCCACCCCUCUGAUUAUUAUCCUCCAUUGAUAGUUCAGGCCGGUAGUGAUGAGGUUACUGACAGAAGCCUGAGGACCAUAAAAAAUGAUUUUAGGUGACUGGGGAGGUUAGUUGAUGGAGAAGGCAUACAAGUAGCAUUUCCCUGUAUUCCUACAGUGGCUGGGAAGGACACUGAGACAA